UACGGAGGGGGCAAGCGUUGUUCGGAAUUACUGGGCGUAAAGGGCGCGUAGGCGGCCUGCUAAGUCGAACGUGAAAUCCCCGGGCUCAACCCGGGAACUGCGUCCGAUACUGGCAGGCUUGAAUUCGGGAGAGGGAUGCGGAAUUCCAGGUGUAGCGGUGAAAUGCGUAGAUAUCUGGAGGAACACCGGUGGCGAAGGCGGCAUCCUGGACCGAAAUUGACGCUGAGGCGCGAAAGCCAGGGGAGCAAACGGG
rnacentral:rRNA from 1 species